rnacentral:sRNA from 1 species
ACAUAGCCCCGAUGGUAACGGCAUCCUUUUUUGUGAUUGUGGAAAAAUGUUCGAUUGGAUAGCUAAAUGUCUUUCGCAAUCACAAAAAAGAUAUAGUGGACAGCGGGUUGGAAU